GACGAACGCUGGCGGCGUGCCUAAUACAUGCAAGUCGAGCGGACAGAAGGGAGCUUGCUCCCGGAUGUUAGCGGCGGACGGGUGAGUAACACGUGGGUAACCUGCCUGUAAGACUGGGAUAACUCCGGGAAACCGGAGCUAAUACCGGAUAGUUCCUUGAACCGCAUGGUUCAAGGAUGAAAGACGGUUUCGGCUGUCACUUAUAGAUGGACCCGCGGCGCAUUAGCUAGUUGGUGAGGUAACGGCUCACCAAGGCGACGAUGCGUAGCCGACCGGAGAGGGUGAGCGGCCACACUGGGACUGAGACACGGCCCAGACUCCUACGGGGGGCAGCAGUAGGGAAUCUUCCGCAAUGGACGAAAGUCUGACGGAGCAACGCCGCGUGAGUGAUGGAGGUUUUCGGAUCGUAAAGCUCUGUUGUUAGGGAAGAACAAGUGCAAGAGUAACUGCUUGCACCAUGACGGUACCUAACCAGAAAGCCACGGCUAACUACGUGCCAGCAGCCGCGGUAAUAC
rnacentral:rRNA from 1 species